rnacentral:rRNA from 1 species
GAUGAACGCUGGCGGCGUGCCUAAUACAUGCAAGUCGAGCGAACAGACGAGGAGCUUGCUCCUCUGACGUUAGCGGCGGACGGGUGAGUCACACGUGGAUAACCUACCUAUAAGACUGGGAUCACUUCGGGAAACCGGAGCUAAUACCGGAGAAUAUAUUGAACCGCAUGGUUCAAUAGUGAAAGACGGUUUUGCUGUCACUUAUAGAUGGAUCUGCGCCGCAUUAGCUAGUUGGUAAGGUAACGGCUUACCAAGGCUACGAUGCGUAGCCGACCUGAGAGGGUGAUCGGCCACACUGGAACUGAGACACGGUCCAGACUCCUACGGGAGGCAGCAGUAGGGAAUCUUCCGCAAUGGGCGAAAGCCUGACGGAGCAACGCCGCGUGAGUGAUGAAGGUCUUCGGAUCGUAAAACUCUGUUAUUAGGGAAGAACAAAUGUGUAAGUAACUAUGCACGUCUUGACGGUACCUAAUCAGAAAGCCACGGCUAACUACGUG